CGUCAGUCCCACAGCUCAGGAAGAGGUUCCUGGGGGAGGGAGGAAGCAGGAAACAACGAGGUUUGCUUUAUUGCUAAAGACGGAGAGCAAAGAUGGGUGAAGGAGCGUGACCUCCGCACCACACUGACCAAUGUGAUGUCCCAUCUUGCUACAAGGAGAGAUAUGGAGGACAGAUCUACAGAACAGUCAGUGGUCGGGACAGGAAGCAAUGAUUUUGACCCUGACUUCUACUGCCUUUAUUUGAUGUUUGUAAUUCUUUUAUUGGAAGAGAUAUGAUCGAAUAAAAGGAGCAACUUUUCAUCCA